rnacentral:rRNA from 1 species
AUUGAACGCUGGCGGCAGGCCUAACACAUGCAAGUCGAGCGAGCGGCGGACGGGUGAGUAAUGUCUGGGAAACUGACUGAUGGAGGGGGAUAACUACUGGAAACGGUAGCUAAUACCGCAUACCAUCAGAUGUGCCCAGAUGGGAUUAGCUAGUAGGGGGGGUAACGGCUCACCUAGGCGACGAUCCCUAGCUGGUCUGAGAGGAUGACCAGCCACACUGGAACGGAGACACGGUCCAGACUCCUACGGGAGGCAGCAGUGGGGAAUAUUGCACAAUGGGCGCAAGCCUGAUACAGCCAUGCCGCGUGUGUGAAGAAGGCCUUCGGUUUUUAAACCACUUUCAGCGGGGAGGCGUUACCCGCAGAAGAAGCACCGGCUAACUCCGUGCCAGCAGCCGCGGUAAUUC